AAGAUUUUAAGUUAAAAAACUAUUAACCUUCAAAGUAAUUUAAAAAUGUUUAUUUAUAAAUCUUA
rnacentral:tRNA from 1 species